UUUUUCUGUCAAAAAUAUCUGUAUUCUGAACAGUGCUGGAUAUGAGAUGAACACCUCCCAUCAUCUGCAUCAGCCAACACUUCCUGUCAGCAGUUUCCAGGUUUAUGCAAAGGCGGCCACCACCAUUUCUGCUGAAGAUCUGCAAGGAAGAGCAUCUCAGCUGACCUGUGAUUAAAAGUCCA
rnacentral:lncRNA from 14 species